UACGGAGGGGGCAAGCGUUAUUCGGAAUUAUUGGGCGUAAAGGGCGCGUAGGCGGCUGUACAAGUCAAAGGUGAAAUCCCUCGGCUCAACUGAGGAACUGCCUUUGAAACUGUACGCUUGAGGCCGGGAGGGGGUAGCGGAAUUCCCAGUGUAGCGGUGAAAUGCGUAGAUAUUGGGAGGAACACCAGUGGCGAAGGCGGCUACCUGGACCGGUUCUGACGCUGAUGCGCGAAAGCGUGGUAGCAAACAGG
rnacentral:rRNA from 1 species